rnacentral:lncRNA from 1 species
CAACAUAUGCUAUGCUAUGUGCUAUAUGCAUUAAUUCUAGAUGGGAUAGCUAACCCCAAAAUUCUGCUUUGUCCUGGUUCGGUGCCUCCACAUCUUGUAUACCAACAAACUUUUUUAGGACCAUAUUCUCACCAAGGCCAAGGUUAGUAGGGAUGAAAAUCAUGUGAUAGUCCUAACGCAGGCAUUCAUGUUUUUAAAGUUUGAAAUUCCA